rnacentral:lncRNA from 1 species
GACAACAGAGCAAGACCCCCAUCUCUAAAAAUGUAUAAUACAAUUAAAAAUAAAGAAAUACAAGUUGACUAGAUGAACACAGGAUCUCACUUAAUUCUCACAAGAACCUUGUCAGGUACUUCCUAGCAUCAUUUCCAUUCUGCGGAUGAGGUAGUUACGGCUUAGAAGGGUUAAAUAAUUGGCCCAAGGGUACCCUAUUGGUGAGGGGUAGGGCUGGUGUUCUAGUCAGUUCUGACUGACUUCAAGCCCAGACUCUAAGGCAAGACACUCAACUGCAUUUAGACAAUGCCAGUUUGGACAAAGGGUGGUCUUGCAUCUCCCUUUUUGUAGCAAUUCUCUCACAGAAGUAUUUUUAUAACUCUGAGAAAUCUUUAUAUACAUUUCUUUAUAUCCUUUAUAUUUUCUCUCCAGGUUAAGCCAGCACUUAACACCACAUGAAAUUGAAGUUCAUGGAAUUCAAAGACGAGGCCCAAGAGGCAGCAGCAAAGGUCAGCAUCUCCACCACCCCAUCAGGUCUUGCCCAUGUUGACCCAGGUGCUGGGACAGGAGGCACACACUGAACUUACUGCUCCCGUUGACUUCUCAUCUGGUUCCAGGUCUCCACUUUCCACCCCUUUUCCUCCACAGACUAAAAGCUAAGUCAUUCUGGGUGUGACGUGUGUCUAGAAAGAGUGUGUCUGGCUUCUUGUUUUUACCACAAAGUGUGCCUGAGAUAUAGGUCUGUGCCGCCAUUUUGGCUCUCAAGCCAGGGAACCUCUUGGUGUUCUCAUUUUGGAAUUUUAUUCUGGAAAGUUCGGAGGACCCAGGGACUCCUUACUGUGAUACCCGAUUCUCUGGCUUUAAUCAAUUAUUCAUUAUUCACUCAGGUACUUAAUGAACAACUCUCAAUAUCUAAUUUUGUUCCAGGCUUUGAAGAGGGUCAGAAGGAUGGAAGACUUGGCCCCUCCUCUCUAGUAGUGUACACCAUGCCUGAGGAGACCACAUAUCAACAUGGAACAGCCCCGGUUAGGGCACAAGGGCGCUGGGGCCUGGACAGUCAUGCCAUGGGAGCUCAGUGGGAGGCUGGACUUAGGCUGAGGUGCGUGGGGAGAGCUUCCUGGACAGCUGGGAUCUAAGGAUGCUUAAAUCAUGGACAGGAAAGCAGCUGCAGCCUAACGAAGAGCAGGGGUGUUAGGAGGCUUCCCUAAAGUUCUGUGACCCUGUAGAACUGUUGCCACUGCUAUGGUCACUGCUGCAACUACAAGCACUGCAUCUGGCAUGGGAGCUUGAUGGACCAGAGCACAUGCAAAGAGGGCAUCGGAAAUCCCAGAAGGGUAUGCGGGACCUUGUACCCUGUGGGAUUCCCAUGCUUACUUCAGGCAAACAGUAAGCCAGUAAGUGGAUGGCUGGCAGAGCUUCCCCCAGACUCUGAGGCUCUCAAACCCAUCUUUCGUGCAGAGAGAAUUGUGUGGUUAUCAUCCCCAGAACUCACCUGCUGAGUAAUUCGAUGCGAGUGAUUUGAUGUUCAGUCCCUCCUAGCAGGAGGCAGACCAGCAGGGAGUUACAGUUAACACUAACUGGGCAUGGCUAUUGAGGCAGGAGAGUAGGGUCUGGAGGCAGGGAACCUAAGGCUGAUUCGCGCCGAAUUCCUAGAACUGAAUCAAAAAGAAAAGCCCACCUCUCCACACCCAAAUAACAAAAGGAUCAGAGGCUACUCCCUUUGCAACCCCCCAACUUCCCCUGCAUUGCAGAUGAAAACUGAAAGUACCUCUGAUUGGUCCCCUCCUGCAACCAGUCAGGCUGGUCACAGGCCAAGUCUUCAUUUGCAGAGGAGUAUAACUUUGUAAGUUCACUUCAGCCUCUGAUUGGUCACUUUCUGCAAUCAAUCAGACAUUUGCAUAGGGUGUAACUUUGUAUCUUCACUUCAGCCUCUGAUUAGUUGCUUUCUGCAAUCAAUCAGACUGAUCGUGGGCCACUAUUUCAUUUACAUAGGGUGUAAACCAAGUAACCAAUGGAAAACCUCUAGAGGGUAUUUAAACCCCAGAAAAUUCUGUAACCAAAGCUCUUGAGCUGCUUGCUCGAGCCCCCUCCCACUCUGUGUCGCGUACUUUUGUUUCAAUAAAUCUGUGCUUUUCUUUUGUU